GUUAUGCUUGCCUUCUUGGGAAUCUAUUGGAAGUUGCCGGGCUUGCUUUUGCUCAGCCAGAAUCAUUCACUAUGGCCGUUGAUUUUGCUACUGUUGCAACUUUUUUGUUGGAAGCACUCCCUUCUCUCCAAUCAUCAAAGAUGGGAAGUAUAGAAAUUUCUGAGGAUGAAAUGGUCAUUGAUGAUGAACAAACAGAAAAAGCUCUGAAUCUGGGUUUGGAGCAACAGAUAACCAAUGCUAUAAAUCCACGUUUUCUUCUACAGCUGAGUACUGUGUUACUAGGUGGAUUUUCACCUCUCAAUGGUUUACAUAGUGGCCAGCUUGAAGAAAAUCACAUAGCAGCUGUUACUGCAGUUUGUGCUUUCCUUCAUACGACUUUCAACAUUUUGCCGCUUGAACGUAUUAUGACUGUACUAGCCUAUCGGACAGAACUAGUUCCUGUCCUUUGGAACUUCAUGAAACAUUGCCAUGAAAAUCAGAAAUGGUCAUCCUUGUCAGAACAAUCACCAUAUU
rnacentral:misc_RNA from 1 species